UUGAACGCUGGCGGCAUGCUUUACACAUGCAAGUCGAACGGCAGCGGGGGCUUCGGCCUGCCGGCGAGUGGCGAACGGGUGAGUAAUGCAUCGGAACGUACCCAGUCGUGGGGGAUAACUACGCGAAAGCGUAGCUAAUACCGCAUACGCCCUGAGGGGGAAAGCGGGGGACCUUCGGGCCUCGCGCGAUUGGAGCGGCUGAUGUCGGAUUAGCUAGUUGGUGGGGUAAAGGCCUACCAAGGCGACGAUCCGUAGCUGGUCUGAGAGGAUGAUCAGCCACACUGGGACUGAGACACGGGCCAGACUCCUACGGGAGGCAGCAGUGGGGAAUUUUGGACAAUGGGCGCAAGCCUGAUCCAGCCAUGCCGCGUGAGUGAAGAAGGCCUUCGGGUUGUAAAGCUCUUUCAGACGGGAAGAAGGACGCGAAAGCGUAUUGACAUUACUUUCAGAAGAAGCACCGGCUAACUCUGU
rnacentral:rRNA from 1 species